GGCUGUCAGGGUCAGAUGACUGCUCAGCCUGAUUAGACCAGCUCAUAGCAGAUCCUAAGCCCAACACACACUGCACCUUUAUACCAAGGUGGAUCUACGAGCUGGCACAUUCAGUACGUCGCAGUUGAGGAGGCCAGAAGGGACACGAGGUGGAUAGUUUAGUGUUAUAGUGGGGCAGAGCUAAAGGUUAUCAAGGAAACAUUUAACCUUCUGCUGCUGCUCCUUCCUGCUUGACUACCAGGACCAAAGACUGAAAGAGGUGUUUUUUUACUGUAACAAGAAGGCAGAAGAACUGGUGUUUAGCCAGUGUUUGGAGAUGACGCUGAAAAGCUAAGCGGACUUUGGUGUAACUGCCAGUCAGAGCCCUGUGGAUUUCCCCUGUUCAGCAGACAAGCUGUCCUCUGAGACCUUGUGAAGAAGUAGCCAUAAGGUGGCUCUAAAAUAAUACUGAGAUCCAUUUUAGCCUCUCUGUGUCCUGAUCCACCAUGUGACAGUGAAACAGCUAGGCAGCCAGUCUGGAGACAUGCCUAUUUUUACAAACCAAACUACACUCUAAGGUAAAAGUGCCAAUUGGCUUUAAGGUUUAACUGGAAUUACUUCUGUCUGUUUCUGUAUGUUACCCUCAUAUGAAAUCAUUAUACUUCAGAUGUUUGCUAAAAUUGUGAACAGUUGACCUUUUAGUUAAGUUUAGAUGCCUUAAAACAGGUUUCUGUGUACUCACAGAGUGUCUGUGACAGUGCCAGCUAUGCUGCUUUGCAAAUUAGCUUUUAUCCUGUGUCUCCGUUGCAACUUUGGUGCCCUCGGGUCGCACAAGGCUUCAAGUGAAAUGAAUGUUCACUUUUAACCAGCUCAGUGGAAAAUAAGCGACCUCUAUCCCGAUUAGCGGUGACACAGGAUAAAAUCCUAAAUAUAGAUUGUCAACAACUUGGAACUGACUACCCUCUUCUGGAAGAGUGAGUGUGUAAGUCUGUGAGUGAUUAUGUGUGUGUGUGUGUGUGUGUCUGCGUGUGUUGUCAGUGCAGAGGCCAAAAGGUGACCAGAGAUUACCUCUGGACCUUCCUUUGUUGUUUAUUUGAUUGCCUUGUUUGAGUGGUAGGUAGAAUUAUUUGGAAAGCUAAAAGUAUGCUGCAUUUUUAUGAGAAAUAUUAUUAAGAUGAUUCAGUGCUUUGUUUUGAAUCAUACAUUAAGAAGAGCCUAACACAACUUAUAUCUGUACUUUAGAGAAACCGCAUUAUAACUAACAAGCAGUGUUCAUCCUAAAUGCUUUCAUAACUCUGUAUGUGCUGAACUGCUGAACAGAGCCUUUUUUCCUGAAAAUAUAUUAAACUGAUAUGCAUGUGGGGUUAAGGUUCAGAAUAAAUCAAAGCAAGUUACUUCAGAUUCUCCACAGUUUCACAAAAUAUUUUUAUCUUGUCUUUUUUUGUGCCGAGCCACAACAAAAAACACCUAGGCUAGAUUAAUCAGAGCAUCACUUUAUAUGAGAAUUUCUGCUCAUUUUUUUCUUCAAAGCUAACUUAAUUUUGUU
ensembl:lncRNA